UACGUAGGGGGCGAGCGUUACCCGGAUUCAUUGGGCGUAAAGCGCGUGUAGGCGGCUGGCCAAGUGUGGCGUGAAAUCUCUCGGCUCAACCGAGAAACUGCGUUGCAAACUGGUCUGGCUAGAGUGCAGGAGAGGGUAGUGGAAUUCCCGGUGUAGCGGUGAAAUGCGUAGAUAUCGUAAGGAAGACCAGUGGCGAAGGCGGGUCUCUGGACAGUUCCUGACGCUGAGGCACGAAGGCCAGGGGAGCAAACGGG
rnacentral:rRNA from 1 species